rnacentral:rRNA from 1 species
UCGGGAAUAUUGCGCAAUGGAGGAAACUCUGACGCAGUGACGCCGCGUAUAGGAAGAAGGUCUUCGGAUUGUAAACUAUUGUCGUUAGGGAAGAGAAAGGACAGUACCUAAGGAGGAAGCUCCGGCUAACUACGUGCCAGCAGCCGCGGUAAUACGUAGGGAGCGAGCGUUAUCCGGAUUUAUUGGGUGUAAAGGGUGCGUAGACGGGAAAACUAAGUUAGUUGUGAAAUCCCUCGGCUUAACUGAGGAACUGCAACUAAAACUAUUUUUCUUGAGUGCAGGAGAGGAAAGUGGAAUUCCUAGUGUAGCGGUGAAAUGCGUAGAUAUUAGGAGGAACACCAGUGGCGAAGGCGACUUUCUGGACUGUAACUGACGUUGAGGCACGAAAGUGUGGGGAGCAAACAGGAUUAGAUACC